GUCCCCAUCGUCUAGCGGUCUAGGACUCCGCCCUUUCACGGCGGCAACACGGGUUCGAAUCCCGUUGGGGAUG
rnacentral:tRNA from 1 species